UGGUUCGUGCCGCGGGCGCGCUCAUAAGGCCCCUCCUCCCUACCCAGUUUCGGGGUCGCCUGGUAAGGUAAAAUCCUUGAACCCACUCGUUCCUGUCGCUGGGAGGGCGUCCCUUUCGCCUGUCACAGCGUCGCCGUGGGACG